AAUCUUCCGAAUGCACGAAAGUCUGACGGAGCAACGCCGCGUGAGUGAUGGGGUGUUUCGGCUCGGAAUACUAUGUUGUUAAGGAUGAACACUUGAGGCAGUAUUUGUCCUUGAGAUGACGGUACUUAACCAGAAAGCAACGGCUAACUACGUGCCAGCAGCCGCGGUAAUACGGAGGUUGCAAGCGUUAUCCGGAAUGAUUGGGGUUAAAGCGCGCGUAGGCGGUAAAGUAAGUCUGUGGUGAAAUCCCCCGGCUUAACCUGGGAAGGUCCUUGGAUACUGUUUGACUUGAAUACAGAAGAGGUAAGCGGAAUACCUCAUGUAGCGGUGAAAUGCGCAGAGAUAUCAAGGAACACCAGUGGCGAAGGCGGCUCACUAGACGAUUACUGACGCUGAGGUGCGAAAGCGUGGGGAGCAAAC
rnacentral:rRNA from 1 species